rnacentral:rRNA from 1 species
UUACCUACGGGUGGCUGCAGUGGGGAAUUUUGGACAAUGGGGGCAACCCUGAUCCAGCCAUUCCGCGUGAGUGAAGAAGGCCUUCGGGUUGUAAAGCUCUUUCGGCAGGAACGAAACGGCUCGCUCUAACAUAGCGGGCUACUGACGGUACCUGAAGAAGAAGCACCGGCUAACUACGUGCCAGCAGCCGCGGUAAUACGUAGGGUGCGAGCGUUAAUCGGAAUUACUGGGCGUAAAGCGUGCGCAGGCGGCUUUUUAAGCCAGAUGUGAAAUCCCCGGGCUUAACCUGGGAACUGCAUUUGGAACUGGAAGGCUAGAGUGCGGCAGAGGGGGGUAGAAUUCCACGUGUAGCAGUGAAAUGCGUAGAGAUGUGGAGGAAUACCGAUGGCGAAGGCAGCCCCCUGGGUCGACACUGACGCUCAUGCACGAAAGCGUGGGGAGCAAACAGGAUUAGAUACCCUAGUAGUCA